UACGUAGGGGGCAAGCGUUGUCCGGAAUCAUUGGGCGUAAAGCGCGUGUAGGCGGUUCGGUAAGUCCGCUGUGAAAGUCGGGGGCUCAACCCUCGAAUGCCGGUGGAUACUGUCGGGCUAGAGUACGGAAGAGGCGAGUGGAAUUCCUGGUGUAGCGGUGAAAUGCGCAGAUAUCAGGAGGAACACCGAUUGCGAAGGCAGCUCGCUGGGACGUUACUGACGCUGAGACGCGAAAGCGUGGGGAGCAAACAGG
rnacentral:rRNA from 1 species